GUUUGAUCAUGCUCGGAUUGAACGCUGGCGGCAGGCCUUUACAUGCAAGUCGAGCGGAUGAAGGGAUUCAGCGGCGGACGGGUGAGUAACAGAAUCUGCCUUGGUAGUGGGGAUAACGUCCGGAACGUUGAAUGCAUACGUCCUGAGGGAGAAAGUGGGGAUCUUCGACCCCACGCCAUUAGAUGAGUCAUAGGUCGGAUUAGCUAGUUGGUGGGUGUCACCAAGGCGACGAUCCGUAACCGGUUCGAGGAUGAUCAGUCACCGAACUGACACGGUCCAGACCCUACGGAGGCAGCAGGAAUAUUGGAGGCGAAAAGCCUGAUCCAGCCAUGCCGCGUGUGAAGAAGGUCUUCGGAUUGUAAAGCACUUUAAGCUGGGAGAAGGGCAGUAAGUUAAUUUUGUUGCUUUGAAUGUUACCAACAGAAUAAGCACCGGCUAACUUCGUGCCAGCAGCCGCGGUACGAAGGGUGCAAGCGCCAAUCGAAUUACUGGGCGUAAAGCGCGUAGGUGGUUCAGCAGUUGGAUGUGAAAUCCCCAACAACUGGAAUCCAUCAAACUGAGCCAGAGCAGUAGAGGUGGUGGAAUAUCCUGUAGCGGUGAAAGUAGAUAUAGAAGGAACACCAUGGAAGGCGACCACCUGGAACUUGAUACUGACACUGAGGUGCGAAAGCGUGGGGAGCAAACAGGAUUAUUACCCUGAAUCCACGCCGUAAACGAUGUCGACUAGCCGUUGAUCCUUGAGAUCAGUGGCGCAGCUAACGCGAUAAGUCGACCGCCUAGAGUAAUGUACAAGCUCAAAUGAAUUGACGGGGGCCCGUACAAGCGCAUGUUUAAUUCGAAGCAACGCGAACCUGGCCUUGACAUGCUGAGAACUUUCCAGAGAUGGAUUGGUGUUUUCGGUGCUGUAUGGCUGUCGUCAGCUCGUCGUGAGAUGUUAAGAAAACCGCAACGAGUAACCCUUGUCCCAGUUACCAGCACUCGGUGGCACCUAAGGAGACUGCCGGUGACAAACCGGAGGAAGGUGGGAUGAACAGCCACACCUACGGCCAGGGCUACACGUGCUACAAUGGUCGGUACAAAGGGGUUGCUGCUUAUAUAAUCCCAAAACCGAUCAUGUCCAGAUCGCAGUCUGCAACUCGACUGCGUGAAGUCGGAAUCGCCAGAAUCAGAAUGUCACGGAGAAUACGUUCCCGGGCCUUGUACACACCGCCCGUCACACCAUGGGAGUGGGUUGCUCCAGAAGUAGCCAGUCUAACCUGCAGGACGGCUACGGAGUGAUUCAUGACUGGGUGACAAGGUAGCCGUAGGGGAACCUGCGGCUG
rnacentral:rRNA from 1 species